GUUCGCCAUUGCCGCGGCCGAGGCCGCCUUCGCAGGCUGCAGCACGCCGCCGGAAGACUACCUCAGCGAUCUCCCCAGUCCUCUUCUUCCUCCUCACCCGCGACUCCUUCCGCACCUCCGUCCUCGCUUGCCGAUGGCGUCGUGUCGCAUUCCGACUAUUUCAAGCGGACCUCUAGGUUACCAGCUGGCGUCGACUCGUUGCUAUUCUUGCUCUAUCGGGCGUCUUCGACUCGCCUCCGACUGCAGGUUGAUUCGUCCCCGACGUAGAUCGCCGCUGCAACUGGAUCGACUACGGUCCCACUCCGGAGUCUGUCCAUUUGUCCAUCGCUCGUGGCAGUCGGUCCCCAACCUUCCUCAGUCAAGACGCUUUCACUCAUGAUUUCGAAGGAGUGGUUGGCAAGGCUGUUCUCUUGCUCGCCUGAUUUGGAAAAUUAACAUUAAACCAAGGAUUUCGGUUGAUCAAUAUCAGAAACUCGGACGUUUAAAGCUGAAAUCCGAUGUUCGUCUGGAACAGUUGUAUGUUGGCCUCUGUUCAGUUGCAGAGCCUUUUGGAACACCACUAUCUUCAUUACUUGUCUCUUUAUAGCAAGUUAUAGCUUAUGCCUACUCCAGAAAGUUUACCAGUUCUUUACAAAUUGUUGAAGUUGGAGAUCCAUCCAUCCACUUCUGGUCACAAUUCCAACAGUUUGCAAGUGCUAUUUUCUCUUCUUCAGUGCACACCGAAUAUAUAUUCACUCAUUUUAAUUGAAAAUGGACAGGCGUGAGAUCAGUCAUCAUAUGGGCCAUAUGGAAGAGAAAUCAAUUAGUGGAGGAAUUUAUUGAAUAUUGUGCCCAUCAAAGGUUUAGAUCAUCUUAAGAAAAGUUUCUGCUAGAAACAAAACUACAAGAAUUCAAUCAGCCAUUUUGGAGAUAUUAUUGGAGAGAGUUCAAGCAUGGGAUGAACUGAUGAAGUAGUGGUGACUACACAUAGGGAUGGGUU